rnacentral:rRNA from 1 species
UGAGGAAUAUUGGUCAAUGGGCGCAAGCCUGAACCAGCCAUGCCGCGUGCAGGAAGACGGCUCUAUGAGUUGUAAACUGCUUUUGUACGAGGGUAAAAUUGGGUACGUGUACCUGACUGAAAGUAUCGUACGAAUAAGGAUCGGCUAACUCCGUGCCAGCAGCCGCGGUAAUACGGAGGAUCCGAGCGUUAUCCGGAUUUAUUGGGUUUAAAGGGUGCGUAGGCGGUUCGGUAAGUUAGAGGUGAAAUUUCGGGGCUUAACCUCGGCAUUGCCUCUGAUACUGUCGGACUAGAGAGUAGUUGCGGUAGGCGGAAUGUAUGGUGUAGCGGUGAAAUGCUUAGAGAUCAUACAGAACACCGAUUGCGAAGGCAGCUUACCAAACUAUAUCUGACGUUGAGGCACGAAAGCGUGGGUAGCAAACAGG